UACAGAGGUCUCAAGCGUUGUUCGGAUUCAUUGGGCGUAAAGGGUGUGUAGGUGGCGCCCGUAAGUCGGGUGUGAAAUUUCGGAGCUUGACUCCGAAACUGCAUUCGAUACUGCGGUGCUUGAGGACUGGAGAGGAGACUGGAAUUCAUGGUGUAGCAGUGAAAUGCGUAGAGAUCAUGAGGAAGACCAGUGGCGAAGGCGGGUCUCUGGACAGUUCCUGACACUGAGACACGAAGGCCAGGGGAGCAAACGGG
rnacentral:rRNA from 1 species